CGUGAGUCGACGCGUGGCGACGGCGAUGGGGCCGUGGGGUUGCGUGGCGCUGCGGCUCGGGGCGCUGCUAUGGCGCCGGGCUUUCUCCCCGGGAGCGUGGCCCGCGGCGGCCGCGGGGCUCCGGCUUCGGCUGCUGUCCGUGGGGCGGCUUCCGGUGGGACCGACGCUCGGCAGGGUCUGCCCGGCCCACGACCGAGCGCGCGGCCUGCACGGCGGGCCGGGCCUGGAGGAGCGGGCUGAGGGAACCGCCGGCGAGGGGCGCCCGGAGUCAGGCACCGCAGAUCAUACUGGUCCCAAGUUUGACAUCGAUAUGCUGGUUUCACUUCUGAGGCAAGAAAAUGCAAGAGACAUUUGUGUCAUCAAGGUUCCUCCAGAAAUGGAAUAUACAGAUUACUUUGUAAUUGGUAGUGGAACUUCCACUCGACACUUACAUGCCAUGGCCUACUACAUUGUGAAAAUGUACAAAUAUCUGAAAUGUAAAAGUGAGCCUCAUGUUAAGAUCGAAGGGAAGGACACUGAUGACUGGCUCUGUGUGGACUUUGUUGUCAUACAGGUCAGAAAGCUGGUGGAGAACAGGAUGGAUAACAUGGGAGAGAUCCCCUAGUGGUGGUGGAAGGCACCUUGGGGUACACAUAACCUUGGCCGUAAAUAACUCAGGCUGUGCAGAAAUGUGAUGAUACCCUUGGAGGACUGUCUCCCAAGCGAAACCCAUCACAAGUAAUGUUACAAAUUGAUAUCAUAUACCUCCUGUAUGAUGCACUGAGAAAAGCACAGCAUCACUUCUGUGGUAUUUUUGCUGGAUGGUGUCCACAAUUUGCAUUUCUAACAAGUUCUCAGGUAAUGCUAAUCUGGGGUUCACACUUUGAGAACCACUGUUCUUACUGUCACAGAGGUUUAUGAGAUCACAAGGGUAAAGGCAAAUGAACUGCUUCUU